CGCUGGCGGCGUGCCUAAUACAUGCAAGUCGAGCGGAGUUAGAGAAGCUUGCUUCUCUAACUUAGCGGCGGACGGGUGAGUAACACGUGGGCAAUCUGCCCGUAAGACUGGGAUAACUCCGGGAAACCGGGGCUAAUACCGGAUAAUCCUGACUCUCUCCUGAGAGUCAGUCGAAAGAUGGUUUCGGCUAUCACUUACGGAUGAGCCCGCGGCGCAUUAGCUAGUUGGUAGGGUAAUGGCCUACCAAGGCGACGAUGCGUAGCCGACCUGAGAGGGUGAUCGGCCACACUGGGACUGAGACACGGCCCAGACUCCUACGGGAGGCAGCAGUAGGGAAUCUUCCGCAAUGGACGAAAGUCUGAUGGAGCAACGCCGCGUGAGUGAAGAAGGUUUUCGGAUCGUAAAACUCUGUUGUAAGGGAAGAACACGUACGAGAGUAACUGCUCGUACCUUGACGGUACCUUAUUAGAAAGCCACGGCUAACUACGUG
rnacentral:rRNA from 1 species